UGGGGAAUAUUGGACAAUGGGCGCAAGCCUGAUCCAGCCACGCCGCGUGAGUGAUGAAGGCCUUCGGGUCGUAAAGCUCUGUGGGGAGGGACGAACCGCCGCUGGUGAAUAUCCAGCGGCAUGACGGUACCUCCUUAGCAAGCACCGGCUAACUUCGUGCCAGCAGCCGCGGUAAUACGAAGGGUGCAAACGUUGCUCGGAAUUAUUGGGCGUAAAGCGCACGUAGGCGGCUUGGCAAGUCGGAUGUGAAAUCCCUCGGCUCAACUGAGGAAGUGCAUCCGAAACUGGCAGGCUUGAGUACUAAAGAGGGUCGCGGAAUUCCCGGUGUAGAGGUGAAAUUCGUAGAUAUCGGGAGGAACACCGGUGGCGAAGGCGGCGACCUGGGUAGAUACUGACGCUGAGGUGCGAAAGCGUGGGGAGCAAACA
rnacentral:rRNA from 1 species